CACAUGCAAGUCGAACGGCAGCAUGCAAGUUCUUCGGAACUUGUGAUGGCGAGUGGCGGACGGGUGAGUAACGCGUAGGAAUUUACCUUAAAGUGGGGGAUAACCUGAGGAAACUCGGGCUAAUACCGCAUAAUCUCUACGGAGUAAAGCUGGGGACCUUUCGGGGCCUGGCGCUUUAAGACGAGCCUGCGUCGGAUUAGCUUGUUGGUGGGGUAAUGGCCUACCAAGGCAAUGAUGGGUAGCCGGUCUGAGAGGAUGACCGGCCACACUGGAACUGAGACACGGUCCAGACUCCUACGGGAGGCAGCAGUAGGGAAUAUUGCGCAAUGGGCGAAAGCCUGACGCAGCAAUGCCGCGUGAGUGAGGAAUGCCUUCGGGUUGUAAAGCUCUGUCAAUGGGGAAAAACGGCAUAAAGAUUAAUACUCUUUAUGAUUGAUGGUACCCAUAAAGGAAGCACCGGCUAACUCCGUGCCAGCAGCCGCGGUAAUACGGAGGGUGCAAGCGUUGUUCGGAUUUAUUGGGCGUAAAGGGCGUGUAGGCGGACUAUUAAGUCAGGUGUGAAAUCUCGGAGCUCAACUCCGAAACUGCGCCUGAAACUGCUAGUCUAGAAUCUCAGAGGGGGUAGGAGAAUUUCUCAUGUAGGGGUAAAAUCCGUAGAGAUGAGAAGGAAUACCAGAGGCGAAGGCGCCUACCUGGAUGAGUAUUGACGCUGAGGCGCGAAAGCGUGGGGAGCAAACAGGAUUAGAUACCCUGGUAGUCCACGCCGUAAACGAUGAGCACUAGAUAUUGGGAAGAUUGACCUUUUCAGUUUCAAAGCUAACGCAUUAAGUGCUCCGCCUGGGAACUACGGUCGCAAGACUAAACUCAAAGGAAUUGACGGGGGCUCGCACAAGCGGUGCAUCAUGUGGCUUAUUCGAAGCAACGCGAGAUCCUUACCUUGGGCUUGAAAUCCGGCGAAUUCGCUAGAGAUAGUGAAGUGCCCCUCGGGAAUGCCGUGACAGGUGCUGCAUGCUGUCGUCAGCUCGUGUGUGAAAUGUCGGUAGUCUCGCAACGAGGCGCACCCCUAUUCUAGUGCAGCAUAAGUGGCACUCUAAGAACUGCUGGUUACGGAGGAGUGGGAUGACGUCAGUCCUCAUGGCCCUUUAUGUUC
rnacentral:rRNA from 1 species